CUAUUCGGCAGUAGAAAUGCUAAAAUUGGAGCGAUACGGAGAAAAUGAGCAUGGCCCCUGUGCAAGGUUAACACACAAAUUCGUGAAGCGUUCCAUAUUUUA